GGAAUUGCUUCACCUUUUUGAAUCACAGUUGAGCCUUCAGCAACUCCAUCCUCUAUUCUCCACAGUAGGUAAUUUUCUUCACAUGUUUCUUUGCCAGCUUCAACCAAAGGUGUUGCAACCAACCACAUCUUAGUGAAUAAGAACUUAAAAAUAAGGAAAUCACAUCUGAAUCUAUCACAAGGAUUAUAAGCAAAUUAAUCAUGUGGUUUCCAGCCUCAAAAGCCAGGUGCCAAUUUAAGCAUGCAAAUAUCUACAAGCAACGAAGGUUUAAAAACUAACGUGUCUUAUUAGAUGGAAAGAUUC
rnacentral:misc_RNA from 1 species